GGAUUUCUGUGGAUUUUUGAAGGAUUUCUGUGUUUUUUAAAGGAUUUUGAUGGAUUCAACGGAUUUUGAGGAUUUCAUGGAUUUUUUCUGGAUUUUUUCCGGAUUUUUUGACGAAGUGUACGGGAUUUUUGGAGUGAAUUGCCCCUCGGCUGUUGGUGUAUUUGUCUGCCAUGCAACUGUAUGGGCUGGACCGGAGGAAUUAUCUGUAUGUUGACAAAAAACAAAAAGGUUGAAAUAUAUAGAGAAUAAUACAUGGGUGCGCGGAAAUACCAGAUUUAUUUCGAAUGUUGAACAUAUAUAUAUUGAUAUCUCACGAGUGAGCGCAGCGAAAUCUCUAUAAAGCACUAUACUCAAAUACUCAAUAUAAUAAAUGACUUUAAUUAUAAAUAAAACUGAUUGUAAAAGACAUGUGUAUUAAUUUAAAACAAUGUACACGUUUGCCCAACGUUUUAAACUUCAAUUUAUGGUGAUUUCAACUAUAUAACUAUUCAAAUCUUGUAUGACGGAACUUUCUCUAAGCCGCAUUUUAGUAAUUCUGUGUUUGAAUAAUACUCCGAAACGCAGUUAGUAAAAUAA